rnacentral:rRNA from 1 species
GUAGUGACCUGCGGAGGAUCAUUGA